UGUUAAAAAUUUCAACCAUUUGUAUAGUUAAAAACUAAUGUGGUUGGCAGAAUAAUUGGACAGUGACACGUGAUAUGUCACAUGUACCUCAUGUUGAUGUAUAAUGACCAAUUUUAAACAAUAGAAACUGAUGAAAUUUUUAACA
rfam:Gossypium raimondii Chr01_contig_1334, whole genome shotgun sequence.